GACGAACGCUGGCGGCACGCUUAACACAUGCAAGUCGAACGAGCGAUGAGAGCUUGCUCUCAAAGCGAGUGGCGGACGGGUGAGUAACACGUGAGCAACCUGCCUUUAAGAGGGGAAUAACGUUUGGAAACGAACGCUAAUACCGCAUAAUACAGAAGAUUCGCAUGUUUCUUCUGUCAAAGAUUUAUCGCUUAAAGAUGGGCUCGCGUCUGAUUAGCUGUUGGUGAGGUAACGGCCCACCAAGGCGACGAUCCAUAGCCGACCUGAGAGGAUGAACGGCCACACUGGAACUGAGACACGGUCCAGACUCCUACGGAGGCAGCAGUGGGGAAUCUUCCGCAAUGGGCGAAAGCCUGACGGAGCAACGCCGCGUGAGUGAUGACGGCCUC
rnacentral:rRNA from 1 species